AUUUAUGUAGGAAGUACAACUCAUGCAUUAGAUUUUAACAUUUACAUGUAUAUAACAAAAUAUGUAAGGUGAGUUAGAGUUUUAUGUUGGUUAAGCCCAAGUUUCCAUCUUAUUCAAAACAAGCCAAUGAGUUGGGUAAUUGAAUUUUAGUGCAAUAUUGGGGAAAAUGACAUUUCAUGGAAUUCAAUAUUGGGCAUAUGAAAUAAUAUGAGAAAAACAAUGUAAGAUUGAGAAAUAGAAAUCAAUAUUUUAUCUUUAUUGAAUAUGAGAUUCAUUUUUA
rnacentral:lncRNA from 1 species